CAUGCCCCGCAACCCCCGAGUGAGCGGGGCCGCACCCGGGGGCUCGGCUCGGGCGGCCCAGCACCCCGCGCUGCUGACGGAUUCUCGGGUGGUGACGCCGCUGCCCACGGGCCCCGGGGACCCCGCGUGCCCGCGGCGGGGCUCGCCACCCGGGCUGUGCGCCCGCACGGACCGGGGCCCCGGCCCCAGCUUCCGCCUCGGGGAGGCAGAGCCCGUGCGCCCCUGCAGCCCGGCCGCGCGCCUUCGGCUCCGCGAGCCCACGGCCGAGCUGCGGGGCCGAGGCAGGGCCCGAGCCCAGGCCGGGAGGGCGUGGCGGGGAGGACGGCGCCCGCUCGCGCCCGCGGUCCGCCGGCCGGAACAUGGCUGCCCCCAGCGCCGCGGACAGUCACGUGCCCAGGCGCUGCCGCCGCCGCGCGCCCCCUCCCGCGCUGGCCCAGGGGCCGACCCCGCGGCAGGCGCGGCCCCGGACGCCUGUCCGCCACGGGGGUGCCGCGAGGGCCGGCCGAGGACGGAGGGCCCCGCGCCGCAGGCCACCUCUUCCGGUCGCCCGCCUCUCACCCGGGCGCGGGGGUCGGGCUCCCGGAGCCGGAGAAACCUUCCUGGGGGCGACCUGCGCCAGGUCGGGCUACUGGGCAUGCGCGCUGCUCCCGUCCGAGUGCGGCCGGUGUCCGGGUUUUCCCGGCCCCUCGGAGCGGCGGCAGGGGCGGGGCUCGGGGCGGGGCGGCCGGGGUCUCGGUCCCCGCCCGGGGCCUGCGCGCCGCGGGCUUACCUCGCCCCAACGGGCUUCGCGGGGUGCCCGCGGGCGGCCUUAUUGUUCGGGGCGGUGGGGGAGGGAGUAGUGCGAGCCCGCACAGAGGUGUGACUAGGGGUCGGAACGUAGGAGCCGCCCUUUCUUGUGAUCAACCAGGGGUUCGUCUCGGGGUCGGGGGGACAGAAUCUCCGGGUGGCUCGCAAACUCGUGCCCCCGAGCCCACCUGCGGAACGGCCGAGUUUGCGUUCCUUGGUCUGACCAGCUCCGGCUCCGCCCCAGGCAGUGUGCCCAGCCCGACCGUAAAGCUCGGCUCCGUUCCGGUGUCACCGAGAGACACCCCCCCCUCCCCCUGGCGCAGGCCGGAGCCCUUCCCCCGAUUCCUGGAAAGUAAAGUAAGGGGCCACGCCCGCUGCCCCUCGGGGCGCAGCCUGGCCCGGGUCCCGCACGCGCCCGCACGGAGCCCGCCGACCCCGCCCGCCCGGCCCGCUCCCCCCGCCCCCCGGCCGCCGCGAACACCCGGAGCCGCGGAUCGCGGCGCGCGGAGAGCCGGGCCGGCGCGGGCCGCGGACUGGGCAUGCUCGGCAGCCCGGAGGCUCGCGGUGGCAAGUCGGAAGCGUUCGCACCAGCGAGGCAGCGGCUCGGCGGCGGCGGCGGCGGCGGCGGCCACGGGCAGGACGGAGCGGGCAGGGCCGGCCGGGGAAGGCUGCGGUUCCCUCGCGCACGGCGAGCCGGCCGGAGAGCGCGAUCCCGCUGCGGAGCCCCGACGCUGCCCUGCCCCGGAUUUUGGUGCGCGGCGGGGGGCUCGGCGAGCGGAAUUCCGGCGGCAGCUGCGACUCCGGUGCAAAUUGGAAGGAAGACUGAUGCAGAAAAAUACCAACAUGGUUCAGACUUCUACAGAUGGAUAUCCCGCUGAGGAUUUACCUCUCGUGUGUAACCCUUUACCCUCGGAGCACACCUGCUCUUCACGUCUCCGUUUUGUGGCUCUCGUCUCGUUACGGUACAUCACUGAGAUUUUGGGGGUUGCACGAAAGCGUCUGGUUGGGCGAGUUCUGAAAGAAGAGACAAGGCCCUGCCCGAGGAAGCCUACCCGAGAGUAA
ensembl:lncRNA